rnacentral:rRNA from 1 species
GACAGAGGUGCCGAGCGUUAGGCGGAAUCACUGGGCUUAAAGCGUGUGUAGGCGGAUCGUUAAGUACCUUGUGAAAUCCCACGGCUUAACCGUGGAACUGCUGGGUAUACUGGCGAUCUUGAGCCACCUAGGGGCAACCGGAACAAAUGGUGGAGCGGUGAAAUGCGUAGAUAUCAUUUGGAACGCCAAUGGUGAAAACAGGUUGCUGGGGGUGUGCUGACGCUGAGACACGAAAGCCAGGGGAGCGAACAGG